CUAAUUGCUGAGAACGGGCAAAGUACUAAAGGAAAAUAGUAAAAGAGAGCAGGGUAUGGUGUGAAACUGUACUAUUAAUUUAGGAAAAAUCCCCCGGGAGCUGGAGACUGAAAUCACAGUAAGUUUUCUCGUAGUUCUGCGUUAAAGAAUAGAGUAUUAUUGUGCUCGAAAUUUAAAACUAUUUAGGUGGUAUUGCGAAUUUAACUUCGUCCUAUUG
rnacentral:ncRNA from 1 species